CGGCCCCAUCACCCCCGCCGCGGCCGCCCCCUCUCCGGGGCCCCUCUUCUCCCUACCUCGCCCCCCUUCCCGCUCCGGUCCUCUUUGUCCCCACUGCCUCGGAGCGCUCCUCUCUCCCCUCCUUUCCUCGGCCGAAGCGGACGCCAGCCCUGCGUCCCGUGUGUCCCACCCUCCUCCUGCGCGACCACAGCUUCCCCGGGCCCCAGCAUCCCCAAGCCGUCUGCUCCCUUCCUGUCGCUUUCCUCCCCAUGACCCCCUUCCUUCUUCAUGGGUGCCUGUCCCCGGGCCCCUCUCCUCGACCCCGCCUUGCCUUUCGAAUGUCCCCUGCGUGGACACACCUAACCCAGACGCCAACCUGCACGAGUGUCUCCCGGUAGCCGGGAGCCGGGACCCCAAGUUCACCUGUAGGAUUUCCCAGAAGGGGUGUUGGGGCCUGACCUUUCACAGAGUAGAUCGGGCUUGUGACACCUGUGUGUGUACCUUCACUCAAUAUUAUCUUUCUGGAACGGAG
rnacentral:lncRNA from 1 species